rnacentral:rRNA from 1 species
CCUACGGGUGGCAGCAGUGAGGAAUAUUGGUCAAUGGGCUAAAGCCUGAACCAGCCAAGUCGCGUGAGGGAAGACGGUCCUAUGGAUUGUAAACCUCUUUUGUCCGGGAGCAACGAGGCCACGUGUGGCCUCAGUGAGAGUACCCGACGAACUAGCAUCGGCUAACUCCGUGCCUGCAGCCGCGGUAAUCCGGGGGAUGCGAGAGUUAUCCGGAUUUAUUGGGUUAAAAGGGUGCGUAGGCGGAACAUUAAGUCAGCGGUAAAAUCGGGGGGCUCAACCCCUUUAAGCCGUGGAAACUGGUGAUCUUGAGUGGGCGAGAAGUAAGCGGAAUGCGUGGUGUAGCGGUGAAAUGCAUAGAUAUCACGCAGAACUCCGAUUGCGAAGGCAGCAUACCGGGGCCCGACUGACGCUGAGGAACGAAAGCGUGGGGAUCGAACAGGAUUAUAUACCCUGGUAGUC